rnacentral:rRNA from 1 species
UACGAAGGGGGCUAGCGUUGUUCGGAAUUACUGGGCGUAAAGCGCACGUAGGCGGAUAUUUAAGUCAGGGGUGAAAUCCCAGAGCUCAACUCUGGAACUGCCUUUGAUACUGGGUAUCUUGAGUAUGGAAGAGGUAAGUGGAAUUGCGAGUGUAGAGGUGAAAUUCGUAGAUAUUCGCAGGAACACCAGUGGCGAAGGCGGCUCACUGGUCCAUUACUGACGCUGAGGUGCGAAAGCGUGGGAGCAACAGG